rnacentral:rRNA from 1 species
ACUCAAAUGAAUAGACGGGGGCCCGCACAAGCGGUGGAGCAUGUGGUUUAAUUCGAUGCAACGCGAAAAACCUUACCUACCCUUGACAUCCUCGGAAUCUUUCAGAGAUGAGAGAGUGCCUUCGGGAACCGAGAGACAGGUGAUGCAUGGCUGUCGUCAGCUCGUGUCGUGAGAUGUUGGGUUAAGUCCCGUAACGAGCGCAACCCCUAUCCUUAGUUGCUAGCAGUUUGGCUGAGCACUCUAAGGAGACUGCCGGUGAUAAACCGGAGGAAGGCGGGGAUGACGUCAAGUCAUCAUGUCCCUUACGGGUAGGGCUACACACGUGCUACAAUGGGCAGUACAAAGGGUUGCGAAGCCGUGAGGCGGAGCCAAUCCCAAAAAGCUGUUCGUAGUCCGGAUUGGAGUCUGCAACUCGACUCCAUGAAGUUGGAAUCGCUAGUAAUCGCAAAUCAGCAUGUUGCGGUGAAUACGUUCCCGGGCCUUGUACACACCGCCCGU